GGAAAAAGAAAAGAAUCUUCUCAAAAAAUAAACUGUCGAGCUGAGCAGCACUGCGCCGCCGCCCCUCCUCCUGUCUCUGGCCCCGCGGCCCGCCGAACGCCGACCCGAGGACCGCGAGGGCGUCGGGGAAGCGCACGACCCGGACAUCCUGCAAUCGUGCUCGGCUGCUCGCCUCGCCCAGCCCAAUCGUCAUUAGCAGCCACGGCCUCAAACAGCACACCCCGACAGGCGGCACACUUCAUGCUUACACGGCUCCUCCGCUAUUGCACCGGUGAGUAGCACCGACCGUAGCAUCACUGCAUCAACAUACGGUGGUCAGCAGGCAGCAGCACCGUUCCAAAAAUAAAGAACAAGUCUGGUGAUUGAAACAUGUGUGCACCCAUUCCUUGCUUACAAAAGAAAUCCCGGACGGAGGGAGUAGAAGCUACACUAUCUAUGCUGAUGUUUGUAAAUUUCCUUCUUGGUUUAUCUCCUGUGUAAGUUCCUGCAAAUUGGUAGAGGGCGCAGUGUGCUAACUCAUGGUCUUACUGCCCAGGCGCAUCAGAUCACUAUUAGUAAUCUAUGGAUGGGGCAUGUCCCUCCAGUGUUGAGUUGGCUUGUAAUGACUCUGUAACUCUGAUUCCCUAUGAGUAUUCAGAAAAGGAAGGAAACUGACCUAUGCCCA